rnacentral:rRNA from 1 species
UACAGAGGGUGCGAGCGUUGUCCGGAAUCACUGGGCGUAAAGGGCGCGUAGGCGGCCUUCUAAGUCAGACGUGAAAUCCCCGGGCUCAACCCGGGAACUGCGUCUGAUACUGGAUGGCUUGAAUCCGGGAGAGGGAUGCGGAAUUCCAGGUGUAGCGGUGAAAUGCGUAGAUAUCUGGAGGAACACCGGUGGCGAAGGCGGCAUCCUGGACCGGUAUUGACACUGAGGCGCGAAAGCCAGGGGAGCAAACGGG